CGUUCGAUAGCUCAGUCAGGUAGAGCGGUCAUCCCGGAUGACUUGGCGCGGGUUCGAAUCCCGCUCGAACAC
rnacentral:tRNA from 2 species